AUUGAACGCUGGCGGCAGGCUUAACACAUGCAAGUCGAGCGGGGGAGGUUGCUUCGGUAACUGACCUAGCGGCGGACGGGUGAGUAAUGCUUAGGAAUCUGCCUAUUAGUGGGGGACAACAUUCCGAAAGGGAUGCUAAUACCGCAUACGCCCUACGGGGGAAAGCAGGGGAUCUUCGGACCUUGCGCUAAUAGAUGAGCCUAAGUCGGAUUAGCUAGUUGGUGGGGUAAAGGCCUACCAAGGCGACGAUCUGUAACGGGUCUGAGAGGAUGAUCCGCCACACUGGGACUGAGACACGGCCCAGACUCCUACGGGAGGCAGCAGUGGGGAAUAUUGGACAAUGGGCGGAAGCCUGAUCCAGCCAUGCCGCGUGUGUGAAGAAGGCCUUUUGGUUGUAAAGCACUUUAAGCGAGGAGGAGGCUACUAGUAUUAAUACUACUGGAUAGUGGACGUUACUCGCAGAAUAAGCACCGGCUAACUCUGUGCCAGCAGCCGCGGUAACAC
rnacentral:rRNA from 1 species